rnacentral:rRNA from 1 species
UACGAGGGGGGCGAGCGUUGUUCGGAAUUAUUGGGCGUAAAGGGUGCGUAGGCGGUUCCGCAAGUCCUGUGUGAAAUCUUCGGGCUCAACUCGAAGUCUGCACGGGAAACUGCGGGGCUUGAGUGUGGGAGAGGUGAGUGGAAUUCCCGGUGUAGCGGUGAAAUGCGUAGAUAUUGGGAGGAACACCAGUGGCGAAGGCGGCUCACUGGACCGGAACUGACGCUGAGGCGCGAAAGCGUGGGGAGCAAACGGG